CAAAGUAUGCAGAGAAAACAAGAAUAUGAGGACGUAUGGUUUUGGCGGGCAAACUGGAGAUUAAACAAUAAAUUUCGAGGUAUUUGAGAUUGCAGUAGAUUUUAGCUAUAUGAUGCAGCGAUAGUGCAGUCUAAUUGCUUUAAAAGGAAAUCUGAAUUGGGACAAAGACCAACAAUAAAAUCAAGUUUCAAUAUUAGAUGACAUAGCAAAUCACCAAGGAAAAGAUCAUACAUGUGUAUAAUAAGAUAAGUAAAAAAACACAAAAAAAUGGAAGAAGUAAGAGCUGAAAUGAUAAUUAGAGCACAUGAUUUCUGCUCGGUGUUUUGGAGGGUUAACCACAUUGGAAAGAUCCAGAGAGUUGGAAAUAGAUAUUCUCGUGGAAACGUUUUCUCGCAGACCUUGAUAAUCAGGCAAAAUAAUCUUGGAAGAGUAUGUAUGAUAACAACGAGAGAACCCAACCACACCUUUUGAAUAUUACACCAUCAAUUUAAUUCUGGAAAAGAAUGCAUUUGAACCAUUUUUGUUUCAUUCUUUUUUUUUGUGUUUAAUGUUAAAUAUAUCCGAACACAAUUAUAUUUUAAUUCUCUCCAGAAAUUUGUGUAUAAUAAAGAAGGUAGAAUUUGGUCGUAAAUCAUAAAGUAUCUAAUAGGCAUUUCUGAAAACAAAAUGUAGAUCAAAUAUAACCGAAUUACAAAAAACCCUUUACAUUGCUUAUGAGAUCAAAUAGGUUUUAAUAUCCUAGUUUUCUGUGUUAUUAAUUCUGCCCUUCAACCUACUCUUAUAUCAAAUAUUUCAACUGUCAAGGGUUCUUUUAACCGAACCCAGGGGGGGGGGGGAGGCGAAUGGUUAACACGCGCAAAUUGGAUCGGAAGGUCUGUCAUUGAGUCAAAUAAUUCAAUUGUCACGGGUUCUUCAAACUGAACGCAGUGGGGAUGGUUUUGAUCCGGACUUGUACCCAAUUGACCCAGCUUGUGUCGUGUGGACACUAAACCUCAUUUGCCGCUCUCUCUUUAAAAUCCAGACGAAAUUUCUAGGCCAAAGCCUUAUACUCACAGUGCCCCCCCCCCUCCCUGCUUAUGACUUGUAAUUGUAUAUAAAUAUUUUGUACAUAUUAAUUAAUAUUUGCCAUUUUCUCUGAUAUUUUUAUAUUUUAAUCCUGCAAUCUUGAUGCUUUGCUCCUUUUAUGUACAAAAUAUUCAUUUUGUUGGUCUUUUUUUUAAUAAGGAAAGGGUUCUACAUCAUUUUAUUACUCCUGCAAAAUAGUGCAUAAUUUAUCUUAUUAGUGCUUGGUUUGGAUGUUAUUAAAUUUAGAUAUAUUUGAAUUAUAUAUUUUUUGGGUGUGGGGUAGGGAUACUGUGUACAUGUCUUUAUAUUCUCAGUACUUGUUUUAGGAUAAA